AUUUAUAUAAUUUAUGAAGAAUAUUACACUGAAGAUGUAAAAGAGAUAAAAUAUCUAUAAAUA
rnacentral:tRNA from 1 species